rnacentral:rRNA from 1 species
UACGUAGGGGGCAAGCGUUGUCCGGAAUCAUUGGGCGUAAAGAGCGUGUAGGCGGCCCGGUAAGUCCGCUGUGAAAGUCCAGGGCUCAACCCUGGGAUGCCGGUGGAUACUGUCGGGCUCGAGUCCGGAAGAGGAGUGUGGAAUUCCUGGUGUAGCGGUGAAAUGCGCAGAUAUCAGGAGGAACACCAAUGGCGAAGGCAGCACUCUGGGACGUGACUGACGCUGAGACGCGAAAGCGUGGGGGAGCAAACAG